rnacentral:lncRNA from 1 species
UCUGAAUUUACAGUAUAUAAAUAUCAUGUUAUUUACUUUACCAGUUGUUAAGACUUUCAUGGUGUUGAUCACCUGCUUAAAUCAGUCACUUUGACCUAUAUUUUAUGUCUGACUGAUUUUUCGAUAAUUUUAUUCAUUGAAUUCAAAAUUUUGUCAUUGUGAAUAUAAAAAACUUGAUGUAUAUAGUUAAGAUUGUAUUUUUUUUAUUUGAGAAUGUAGUUACAAAUUUUCUAGAUUAAUUUUUUUAUAUGGUUACAUUUUUUUUGUAAAAUUCUAUAAACACAAAAGAGUGUUAAAAUUUGAUUUUUUUUUUAAAUAUUCAGUGUUAUAAGAUGUUAUGCCUCAGGAAGAUACCAUUUCUAAAGACUCUCCCUUUCUGAUUAUUUGACUCUCCCAAAAUAUCGAUACUAACAAAAUAAGCGAAUGAAUUCAGAUAGAUCUUAAAUUAACCUAUGCAAAUUGUUGAAUAUUUUGAUCAAGGUAUGACAAUUGGUAAGAAUAGCUUAUUAUAAGAUUGUCCAAAAAUUAUUAAGAUGGCUUUAAAGUAUGACAGAUAUAUUUCUUUGCAUACAAAUUAUUAGAAAAAAAAGUGAAAUUAUUUUUACGUUGAACAGAGAGGUCUAUAUAACUGUAUUGAAUAAUUAUGCACAUGUUUUUUUUUUGUUUUUUUUUAUUGUUUUUGAAUUAUUAAA